rnacentral:rRNA from 1 species
CAGUAGCCGCGGGAAUACGGAGGGAGCUAGCGUUGUUCGGAAUUACUGGGCGUAAAGCGCACGUAGGCGGCUUUGUAAGUUAGAGGUGAAAGCCUGGAGCUCAACUCCAGAAUUGCCUUUAAGACUGCAUCGCUUGAAUCCAGGAGAGGUGAGUGGAAUUCCGAGUGUAGAGGUGAAAUUCGUAGAUAUUCGGAAGAACACCAGUGGCGAAGGCGGCUCACUGGACUGGUAUUGACGCUGAGGUGCGAAAGCGUGGGGAGCAAACAGGAUUAGAUACCCCCGUAGUCCCUGUCUCUUAUAC